rnacentral:rRNA from 1 species
AACGAACGCUGGCGGCAUGCCUAACACAUGCAAGUCGAACGAGACCUUCGUGUCUGGUUGCUCACGGGUGCGUCACGUGUGGGAACCUGCCCGUAGGCUCGGAAUAACUCCUCUAAGGGGGUGCUAACACCGGAUAAUUUCUUCGAACCAAGGAUUCAUCCCCUAUGGAUGGGCCCGCGUUCGUUUAGCUAGUUGGUAGGGUAUAAGCCUACGGAGGCGUCGAUCCAUGGCUGGGCUGAGAGGAUGAUCCGCCACACUGAGACGGGGACACGUCCCAGACUCCUGCGAGAGGGAGCAGUGGUAAUAUAGGACAAUGGGGGAAGGCCUGAUCCAGCACUGCCGCGUAAGUGAUGAAGGCCUUAGAGUAGUAAAGCUCUUUUACACGGGGUGAUAAUGACGGUACCGAGAGAAUAAGCUCCGGCUAACUCCGUG